GCAGGAGACGGCGUCGUUUGACGGAAGGGGGAUGAGAGUGAUGGGAGAUUCGUAGACGACAAAGCAAGUGGGGCAGAAGGAAUGGGGGUGGAGGCGGAGGAGGCAGUUGGUGCAGAUGCGGCGAAAGAUUCCACGGUGGUGGACGUGGUGGAGGAACCACCGUUCCUCGAGGCCGCAGUGGCCGCAGGUGCCGCCGGCUGUGAUUGAAGUGGAGGUGGAGGAGCCUUGUUGUUUCAUCAGCAUUAUUAGGUUUGAAUUGAAAGAUGAAACAUUUGGUGAAGAGGGAAGGGGGAAUUGAAAUUGAAAGCUAAUUUAGGGCUUAUAAGAUCACAAUUCAUUCAUAAGAUAUAAUAGAUGUGGAAAAUUAAAUUUAAAAAAUUGGGAUUUUAUAAGUGCAGUAAUAUUUCUA
rnacentral:lncRNA from 1 species